GAUUCGCGUUAGGGAUAGAAGCGUAAAGCCCACAGUCCCGUUGAGUCUCAAACUCAACGGGGCGAGGACUUGUAGUGAAUAGCCCGGCACUUG
rnacentral:sRNA from 1 species